rnacentral:rRNA from 1 species
UACGUAGGUGGCGAGCGUUGUCCAGAUUUACUGGGCGUAAAGCGCGCGCAGGCGGUCCGGUAAGUCUCCGGUGAAAUCGCCCGGCUCAACUGGGCGGGUGCCGGGGAGACUGGCGGACUUGAGGAGCCUAGAGGCCGGUGGAACUCCCGGUGUAGUGGUGAAAUGCGUAGAGAUCGGGAAGAACACCAGUGGCGAAGGCGGCCGGCUGGGGGUGUCCUGACGCUGAGGCGCGAGAGCGUGGGGAGCAAACCGG